CAAAGCAGCGAUUCAUUCCCGCUUCCCGAGCAGCGCGGUUGGGUGGGACGGGCAGGCGAGAAGGCCGUUUUCCUAGUCCCGGCCUGCGGGUCCCUCCCUGAAACGCGGUGUCAGAUGGUUACUGAUUAAUAUUUUGGAGAGGCCGCGGCGGCGGGCAGCGGGAAUUAUUCAAGGCUGGUUUCGGUUCUCUUCUGGCGACGACCGCAUCUUCGUACUCAAGGCACAGAUUACGGGUCAGCUCAAUUCGCCAGCGGCCGGAGGCUGCCUCCAAGCACCGAGCAGGACGGGAGGGAUGCUCUGCAAGCCGCGUCCGGCUGGAGGCGGCGGAGGCCUGAACGGGUCAUGGUCCCCGAAGUC
rnacentral:lncRNA from 1 species